GAUGUGUUCAAGAUAUUGGAAGACAAGUUUGAUUUGAUGUUUUCGAAGCAAGCGUAUGUUCACUGGUACGCUGCGGAAGGCAUGCAGACAGAUGAAUUUGAAAGUGCACGAACAGAUUUGACAUCAUUGUUAAAAUAUUACGAGCAAGCGGGAGUCAAUACGGGAGUUGAAUCGGGAUACUGAUUAUUGCUAUUCCAACAUAUUUAAUUUGUGGUUGUUUGUUGUAACAGAGAAAAAUACACACAAAACUGAGUUCAAAAUUUACUUAAUAUAGGGUGGGGGACGACGGGACAUCUUUAGCACAUACUAUUCUGAUCGUGUUUUAUUUUUUAACGGUCAGUAGCAGUCGUAAGAAUAACCUACGCUUUUAUAAUUCUCUGCAUGUUUUGUUUAUUAUUAACUGGGACGAGAAAACAGAAUGAAAAUGAGCUUCACCUUACUAUACAAAAGUAUGCGUAAACAUUUUAAAAACGUGUGUAAAACCAAAUAUCCUAUAAGAUGGUCAGAAAACUCUCCCGAGUUGCUCGAAAAUAAUCAAUGGUAGGAAAGCACCUCUGUGGUUAAAUGAUAAAUAUUAACCUGCUGAUGUAAAGAACAAGUUAUUACAUGGUUAGUGUAAAUGUUAAUAUGAAAUAUAAUAAAUUAUAUCAACAAAUAUAAGAUACAUUACCGUCAAUAUAUUACGACAUCAAACUUUGAUCUUGCUUAAGAACUAAUUUAUUAAACUUCGUUUUCUAUUUAGCUAAGCUUUCUUCAUAUGUUCCCACCAUUUCAAUAAACUGACUGGAGCUGUCUCUCUACAACCUUAUUUUUGUCACUGCGCUACUGAAAGACCGCUUAAAUUUUGCACACUUUGUAGCUUAAAGAUCAUUGAAAAGACCAGCAAGCAGUUUCAGUGCUCUUAGCUAAAUUAAAAUUCAAUAGAUAAUUUGUAGAGAAUAACCAUUUAUUCAACCUGCCAUAAAUAUUUGAUGUGUUAACUGCCUUUGCAGUGGUUUUAAUGCAAUAAAACAAGUCCUAUGUUUAAUGUUUAUGAAACCAAGUAGGGUUGUUGAAAUACAAAAAUACCAGAAGAACAUCAACAAUUAUGGUUUGUUUUCAGCAAGAAAUGUGAAGUAAAUAUGCAUAGAAAUACUUGCACACAAAAGGGAACAUAAA